rnacentral:rRNA from 1 species
GCUACGGCGUCGAAGCAGUGUAUGUCAGACUUCCAAGAAAAGCUCGCAAGGUCAUAAAUAAAGAAUGCCUGUACCAUAACCGACACAGGUGGGUAGGUAGAGUAUACUAAGGGGCGCGAGAUAACUCUCUCUAAGGAACUCGGCAAAAUGACUCCGUAACUUCGGGAGAAGGAGUGCCUUAUUUAUAAGGUUGCAAUAACAAGAUCCAAGCAACUGUUUAUCAAAAACACAGGUCUCCGCUAAGUCGUAAGACGAUGUAUGGGGGCUGACGCCUGCCCAGUGCCAGAAGGUUAAAGAAGUUGGUUAGUGUAUGCGAAGCUGAUGACUGAAGCCCUGGUGAACGGCGGCCGUAACAAUAACGGUCCUAAGGUAGCGAAAUUCCUUGUCGGGUAAGUUCCGACCCGCACGAAAGGCGUAAUGAUUUGGAUACUGUCUCGGAGAGAGGCUCGGUGAAAUAGACUUGUCUGUGAAGAUGCGGACUACCUGCACCAGGACAGAAAGACCCUAUGAAGCUUUACUGUAACUUGAAAUUGGAAUUGGACUUUGCUUGCGCAGUAUAGGUGGGAAGCGUUGAAGAUAUUCUUGCGGGAGUAUUGGAGCUAUCAGUGAGAUACCACUCUUGUAAUGUUAGAUUUCUAACUUUGAACCAUAAUCUGGUCAAAGAACAGUUUCAGGUGGGCAGUUUGACUGGGGCGGUCGCCUCCCAAAUGGUAACGGAGGCGUACAAAGGUUUCCUCUGAACGGAUAGAAAUCGUAUCUAGAGUGUAAAGGCAUAAGGAAGCUUGACUGUGAGACCUACAAGUCGAGCAGGGACGAAAGUCGGUCUUAGUGAUCUGACGGUACUGAGUGGAAAGGCCGUCACUCAACGGAUAAAAGUUACUCUAGGAUAACAGGCUGAUCUCCCCCAAGAGUUCACAUCGACGGGGAGGUUUGGCACCUCGAUGUCGGCUCAUCGCAUCCUGGGGCGGUAGUACGUCCCAAGGGUUGGGCUGUUCGCCCAUGAAAGCGGUACGCGAGCUGGGUUCAGAACGUCGUGAGACAGUUCGGUCCAUAUCCGGUGUAGGCGUUAGAAUAUUGAGAGGAGCCUUCUUUAGUACGAGAGGACCGAGAAGGACACACCGCUGGUGUACCAGUUAUCGUGCCAACGGUAAACGCUGGGUAGCUAUGUGUGGAGUGGAUAACCGCUGAAAGCAUCUAAGUGGGAAGCCCACCUCAAGAUGAGUAUUC